AACGAACGCUGGCGGCAUGCCUAACACAUGCAAGUCGAACGAUUGCCUUCGGGUGAUAGUGGCGCACGGGUGCGUAACGCGUGGGAAUCUGCCCUUAGGUUCGGAAUAACAGCUGGAAACGGCUGCUAAUACCGGAUGAUAUCGCGAGAUCAAAGAUUUAUCGCCUGAGGAUGAGCCCGCGUUGGAUUAGGUAGUUGGUGGGGUAAAGGCCUUCCAAGCCGACGAUCCAUAGCUGGUCUGAGAGGAUGAUCAGCCACACUGGGACUGAGACACGGCCCAGACUCCUACGGGAGGCAGCAGUGGGGAAUAUUGGACAAUGGGCGCAAGCCUGAUCCAGCAAUGCCGCGUGAGUGAUGAAGGCCCUAGGGUUGUAAAGCUCUUUUACCCGGGAAGAUAAUGACUGUACCGGGAGAAUAAGCCCCGGCUAACUCCGUG
rnacentral:rRNA from 1 species